rnacentral:rRNA from 1 species
UACGGGGGGAGCAAGCGUUGUUCGGAUUUACUGGGCGUAAAGGGCGCGUAGGCGGUCGUGACAAGUCACUUGUGAAAUCUCCGGGCUUAACUCGGAACGGUCAAGUGAUACUGUCGGACUAGAGUACAGAAGGGGGCAACUGGAAUUCUCGGUGUAGCGGUGAAAUGCGUAGAGAUCCGGAAGAACACCGGUGGCGAAGGCGGCCUGCUGGGCAGUUGCUGACACUGAGGCGCGACAGCGUGGGGAGCAAACAGGG